rnacentral:rRNA from 1 species
AAACCAACCGGGAUUGCCUUAGUAACGGCGAGUGAAGCGGCAAAAGCUCAAAUUUGAAAUCUGGUACCUUCGGUGCCCGAGUUGUAAUUUGGAGAGGGCAACUUUGGGGCCGUUCCCUGUCUAUGUUCCUUGGAACAGGACGUCAUAGAGGGUGAGAAUCCCGUGUGGCGAGGAGUGCGGUUCUUUGUAAAGUGCCUUCGAAGAGUCGAGUUGUUUGGGAAUGCAGCUCUAAGUGGGUGGUAAAUUCCAUCUAAAGCUAAAUAUUGGCGAGAGACCGAUAGCGAACAAGUACAGUGAUGGAAAGAUGAAAAGAACUUUGAAAAGAGAGUGAAAAAGUACGUGAAAUUGUUGAAAGGGAAGGGCAUUUGAUCAGACAUGGUGUUUUGUGCCCUCUGCUCCUUGUGGGUAGGGGAAUCUCGCAUUUCACUGGGCCAGCAUCAGUUUUGGUGGCAGGAUAAAUCCAUAGGAAUGUAGCUUGCCUCGGUAAGUAUUAUAGCCUGUGGGAAUACUGCCAGCUGGGACUGAGGACUGCGACGUAAGUCAAGGAUGCUGGCAUAAUGGUUAUAUGCCGC